UACGUAGGUGGCAAGCGUUGUCCGGAUUUACUGGGCGUAAAGAGCGCGCAGGCGGUCGUUCAAGUCGCGUGUGAAAGCCCCCGGCUCAACUGGGGAGGGUCACGCGAUACUGAUCGACUCGAAGGCAGGAGAGGGUAGUGGAAUUCCCGGUGUAGUGGUGAAAUGCGUAGAUAUCGGGAGGAACACCAGUGGCGAAGGCGACUACCUGGCCUGUUCUUGACGCUGAGACACGAAAGCCAGGGGAGCGAACGGG
rnacentral:rRNA from 1 species